GCGGAUUUGAUUCAGAGC
rnacentral:snRNA from 1 species